CCUGGCUCAGAAUGAACGCUGGCGGCGUGCUUAACACAUGCAAGUCGAACGAGAACUCCCGAAGCUUGCUUUGGGAAAGUAAAGUGGCGAACGGGUGAGUAACGCGUGGGUAAUCUAUCCUUGAAUUCGGGAUAACUGACCGAAAGGUGAGCUAAUACCGGGUAACAUCGCAUUUGCCUUGGCGGAUGCGAUCAAAGGCAGCCUCUACAUGUAAGCUGUUGUUCGGGGAGGAGCCCGCGUACCAUUAGCUUGUUGGUGGGGUAAGAGCUUACCAAGGCGACGAAGGUUAGCUGGUCUGAGAGGAUGAUCAGCCACACUGGAACUGACACACGGUCCAGACUCCUACGGGAGGCAGCAGUGAGGAAUUUUGCGCAAUGGGGGAAACCCUGACGCAGCAACGCCGCGUGAGUGAAGAAGGCCUUCGGGUCGUAAAGCUCUGUCGAGUGGGAAGAACCUGUGGCAUGUUAAUGACAUGUCGCACUGACGGUACCAUUAGAGGAAGCACCGGCUAACUCCGUGCCAGCAGCCGCGGUAAUACGGAGGGUGCGAGCGUUAUUCGGAAUUAUUGGGCGUAAAGGGCGAGUAGGCGGCCUUGUAAGUCAGAUGUGAAAGCCCGGGGCUUAACCCCGGAAGUGCAUUUGAAACUACGGGGCUUGAGUAUGGGAGAGGGAAGUGGAAUUCCUGGUGUAGCGGUGAAAUGCGUAGAUAUCCAGGAGGAACACCGGUGGCGAAGGCGACUUCCUGGACCAAUACUGACGCUGAGGCGCGAAGGCGUGGGGAGCAAACAGGAUUAGAUACCCUGGUAGUCCACGCAGUAAACGGUGAUCACUAGGUGUAGCGGGUAUUGACCCCUGCUGUGCCGCAGCUAACGCAUUAAGUGAUCCGCCUGGGGAGUACGGCCGCAAGGUUAAAACUCAAAGGAAUUGACGGGGGCCCCGCAACCAAANGCCGGUUUGGAGCCAUGUUGGUUUAAUUCGACGCAACGCGAAGAACCUUACCUGGAUUUGACAUCCCGGGAAUCCUUGUGAAAAUUUGGAGUGCCAUUCGGGGAGCCUGGAGACAGGUGCUGCAUGGCUGUCGUCAGCUCGUGUCGUGAGAUGUUGGGUUAAGUCCA
rnacentral:rRNA from 1 species